UAUAGUUUCGAUUAGAUCCUAACGUUGUCAUUUGCUAAGCUAAGUUCGGGGUUACGUCGCAGUUCAGAAGAAUUACGUGGAGGUUGACUUAGAUCUUCAGUACUUCCUACUAGAAUUGGAGUGAUAGACGUAGAAGUUACAGUUCCAGUAAAGAAUCUAGUAAAGUCUUGACUAGAAGAUUUUCCAGCAACGUGAAGAGUACGCCUGUUCCAGUACUUAUCUACUCUAUUUGCGAUAGUGUGGAAACAGUUGAUAAUUCUGCAGAAUUCUUCACUCCAGCUAGAGAGAGAUCGGCCGCUAGAAGAUCAUCGAGUCCGGUUGUUGGUGAAGGAACGAUGGGUCAUAGCAGUUCUAUGUCAUAUGAUACAGUGGGGCACGACAUUGACACAACAGGAUCGCUUUCUCCUGUGGAUCUAAGAAGACAGAGCCCUCCGAGGGAGGAGCGCAGAUAUAACACUAGGAGACCUGAGGAACGGAGACAACCUGAUCGUCUAGGAUACAACGUUAGACUAGUUACGGAUCUUAUAAAACUCUUCAACCAGUAGAAGACGAGGAGAUGCCCGGAUAGGGAAGUACACUUACUUUGGAAUCUAGUUUCAGUACAGUAUAGUCUUACUCACAUAGCUAGCUUUCUACUUAGUAUUUAGCAGUGGAACCGUACCUUACUUAGGUAUAACACGUGUUAUCUUUCAGAACAGUACUGAUAGGGAUAUUAGGAUCUUUACUCGCAACACGAACCGUUCAGGGCUGCUUUAGUGGCGGAAACGUAGAAACUUUCGAAUUUAUUUUGACUUCUUUGUUUGCUUGUC